CCCCCUCGCCGGCCGCCCCUGCGCCCACAGUGGGGGUGUCGGCCCGGGAGCCUGGAGCCGGGGACGGUUGUAUGUACACACACACACACACACACACACACACGCACACACAGAACACGACGCGUCGAUUUCCUUCGCUCCUCUUCCAGCUGUUUUCCGUGCAGCCGAUUGGGGUUUUGGGUUUGUUUGCUGGUUGUUGCUUUUGCCCCUCUCGGGAGAUCGGGUCCGGAAAUCGGCUUUGAUAUGGAACUACUCCGCUCUAGCCUGGAAAGGAGACCCGCGCACUCCUCUCGCAGCUAAUUUGGGAUCAUUAAUUUAAUCGGAAAUGAGGUAACCAGUGUAGGAGACAGAGAAAGCAACCGGAGCAUCAAAUGGCAGUUCUCUACAAUCGACGAGGAACUUAAAUCUGGACUCAGGGUUUCAGUGCGGUCCCCGACUCCCACCACCCGGCCCCUCCGCCUGUCCCGCCGCCAGGUGUGACCUCCACGCGAAGGAAUCUUCUGCGGAUGGGUGCACCUUGCCAACAGGUGUGGCACCUGGAGGAUUAAGAGGCGCCUCCAGACUAAGGGCGCUCAAUGUGGUGUUCUUGUUGCAGAUGAUUCUGGAAGGCCAGUAGGUGUCGGGAGACAUUUGACCUUCUUCAGGUGCUUAGAACCAAGUGUCUGGAAACACGAUCCCUUCGCGUAAGUUUUUUUCUGAAAGACACCGCUCUUGACUCUAAGCUGUAUUUGAGAGACCUUUUGGCUCAGUUUACUUAAGACCUAACGGUUAGUCACCAACUGAGGCAGGGCACAGGAUGACCAAAAAAAAAAAUGUGUCAGUUUUUACACAACUCUGGCCUGCAAGAGUCUACGUGCUUCAUAAAUAAAAAUAAACAUCCGAGCGAGGAAGGUGCAGAGCCCCGGAAAUAUUUUUUCUCACGUUUUUGAAGUACCGUGCACAUAUACGUGGCUAUUUAAAUGUAACUACUACUGUUCACUGUUACUCAUUUCUACAACUUUCUUUUUUCCAUUUAAAAAUCGAUUAUUGUUACGGUUUAAACCUCGGGUUGGUCUAAAGUGACAUUGUUGGUCUCAUUACAGCCUCUAGUGGACAGUUAACAUCGGUUUCCUGAAGAGGCUCGGACUGAUUUUGUUUUCAUUGACAAGCUUGGCCAAGGUGAAGGUUAGUACGUAAGAGCAUAAUCGGGUAAAAUGUCCCCCUACCCCUAACCUCACCCCCGCCCCCAACACCCUACUUGGCAAAGACGACUUCAGAAAGGAGCAGUGGCUUGUUGGCUUUGUAUAGAAAAGACGUAUGCUUUGUGCUGCAGGUAUUAUUAUUACUGGACUGUGAAUAAACAGAAAGCGUCUGCUAUUCAUUUCAGUUUCAGACAGCUUUCAUAAAAACUAAAUUCAUCUCAAAUAUUUUUAUAACAGAAAAUAUUGGUUGCCAUGUUUUUGGCUUAACUGCGAUGUUUUUAUUCCAACUCAUAAUCUGCAAACUGUCCAAUCCACCUCCACGCUAUUUUUAGACAUCUUACAUUUAGAUAAUUUUCAGUUAAAAAAAGCUAAUAUUGUAAUUAUUACGUUGGCACAAGCAGUUAAUUUAUGUGAUUUUAGCAACCUUGAAUUAAAACACAUAAUUCAGAUUAGAGUUAGUCAAUUAAUUUAAAUGUUCUCUCAAGGAAGCUAAAUAUGUAUAUUACCCAAAUGGUAAAAACAACUAAUAAGAAAUGUGUCAUUUACUUUCUUAGCCAUUAAGAUUAAAGCCAUAAACUGCCACCAAAAUCUGUAACUAUUUCUUCCUGCAAGAUCCAACAUAAACACCAUACUCAUGAAACAGUCUCAUUACCUUUAGUACUGAAAUAUUUUGUUUUCAGAUGGCAAAAUAUUAAAUGUACAAUCGCAAAUAACAGGCACUGAUUCUUUAGAAACAAGACUUUCUCUUGCAAAUAAAAACUCAAUGAAAAAGGGCAGAGCUUCCAAGAAGCUAGUAGGCAAAUAUAUAGUACUACAGUCCUACUCAUAAGGCUGAUGUUAUAUUUGUAAAAGCAUAAGUCAACCUUUGAAAUUACAGGAAAUCAAUAAAUAAGGCCUGAUGAGCUUGACUCGUAUCCUGUGUCAUAGAUUGCUUAAAUACCAUGAAAACUAAUUGCAAUCACAUAUCUAUUUUACUGUUUUGGUGGUAUCUACUCUUGAAGGUUUUAAAUGGGCCAGCAAGUAUAUAUUAUAUAAUGACAUAUUACACCUUCACUUCUUAAAGUAUAGUCUUCAAAGUAGCUGCAGCAGCACUUGGGAGUUUUUUAGACAUUCAGAGUCAAGGGUUCUACCCCAGACAUACCAAAUCAGAAUCUGCCUUUGAACCAGGCCCCAGGGGAUUCCUAAACACAUUACCAUGUGAAGAACACUGGUCUAUACCACAGGGAUCAACCUAAAUAAAUGCAGGCACAGGUGCAGAAGUUAAUUCCUCUAUUUAUUUCUUUUUUGCUCCUUUUUAGUAAAUACAGCCCUUUAUUAAUUUGUGCUUUUCAAUGAAAAAUUAUUACGUUAUAUGCUUUGGAUAAAUACUACUGCAUUUUAAGUGCACACAUCUGCAUAAUUAUUGCCAAAAGAGAAUGCUCUGCUGAGGAAUGUACUGGGGUCUUGAACAUGAACAUUUUCUUCAUGGCAGCAGAGGGAGCACAAGAGUGCUUAAUAAAACCAAUGCACAGGUCUCUCCAAAUCAUGACAGAUUUUAAAUUGUAGUAUAUGUUUUUAUUGGAAGUAGCCCAUUACGUAGUUCAAAAUGAAGCAAAUCAACCAAGCAAACACAAAUAGGCUUACCAGGUCAUAGUAACUAUGUAAUUGAACAGAUUAAAAGUUGAAUAAAACAAAGAUAAAGUUCUUUAGA